ACGGGAGGCAGCAGUGGGGAAUAUUGCACAAUGGGGGAAACCCUGAUGCAGCGACGCCGCGUGAGUGAUGAAGUAUUUCGGUAUGUAAAGCUCUAUCAGCAGGGAAGAUAAUGACGGUACCUGACUAAGAGGCACCGGCUAAAUACGUGCCAGCAGCCGCGGUAAUACGUAUGGUGCAAGCGUUAUCCGGAUUUACUGGGUGUAAAGGGAGCGUAGACGGCUUGGUAAGUCUGAUGUGAAAGCUAUGGGCUCAACCCAUAAACUGCAUUGGAAACUAUUAAGCUAGAGUGUCGGAGAGGUAAGUGGAAUUCCUAGUGUAGCGGUGAAAUGCGUAGAUAUUAGGAGGAACACCAGUGGCGAAGGCGGCUUACUGGACGAUAACUGACGUUGAGGCUCGAAAGCGUGGGGAGCAAACAGGAUUAGAUACCCUGGUA
rnacentral:rRNA from 1 species